UUUUUGGAGAGUUUGAUCCUGGCUCAGGACGAACGCUGGCGGCGUGCCUAAUACAUGCAAGUCGAGCGAACCGAAGGAGCUUGCUCCUUUAGGUUAGCGGCGGACGGGUGAGUAACACGUGGGCAACCUGCCCUGCAGACUGGGAUAACUUCGGGAAACCGGAGCUAAUACCGGAUAACACCGAAAACCGCAUGGUUUUCGG
rnacentral:ncRNA from 1 species